AAGUAAUGUGAAUUGCAGAAUUCAGUGAAUCAUCGAAUCUUUGAACGCACAUUGCGCCCCAAACUUUCAACAACGGAUCUCUUGGUUCUGGCAUCGAUGAAGAACGCAGCGAAAUGCGAUUUGGUAUUCCGAGGGGCAUGCCUGUUCGAGCGUCAUUU
rnacentral:rRNA from 1 species